rnacentral:rRNA from 1 species
AGUGGCGGACGGGCGAGUAACGCGUGAGCAACCUGCCUUGUACUGGGGGAUAACGUCGGGAAACCGGCGCUAAUACCGCAUAACACUACGAAAUCGCAUGGUUUUGUAGUCAAAGCUCCGGCGGUACAAGAUGGGCUCGCGUCCGAUUAGCUAGUUGGUAGGGUAACGGCCUACCAAGGCGACGAUCGGUAGCCGAACUGAGAGGUUGAUCGGCCGCAUUGGGACUGAGACACGGCCCAGACUCCUACGGGAGGCAGCAGUGGGGAAUAUUGCACAAUGGGGGAAACCCUGAUGCAGCAACGCCGCGUGGAGGAAGAAGGUCUUCGGAUUGUAAACUCCUGUCUUCUGGGACGAAAUAUGACGGUACCAGAGGAGGAAGCCACGGCUAACUACGUGCCAGCAGCCGCGGUAAUACGUAGGUGGCGAGCGUUGUCCGGAAUUACUGGGCGUAAAGGGCGCGUAGGCGGCCUGUUAAGUCAGAUGUGAAAACCCCGGGCUCAACUUGGGGAGUGCAUUUGAAACUGAUGGGCUAGAGUGUCGGAGAGGGAAGCGGAAUU